GCCCUGGUGGUUUAGUGGUUAAGACUCGGCGCUCUCAUUGCCUUGCCCCAGGUUUGUUUCCUGGUCAGGGAA
rnacentral:tRNA from 1 species